CUGUGGGAAUCCUCCUCCUGGCUGUCUGUACCUUCAGACUCUAUGAGUGUGCACGGGUUCCAGUUAUCAUCUGAAAAGAUAAUGAACUUCUGUUGGUUUGUUUUUGGAAAGCUCAGGUUGGGGGGAGGGAAUUGGAUUUAUUACCCUCGAUAAAAUCAGUAAGUCAGUUCUCAUUUGCCUGGAGAGCUAAGUGGUCAUGUCUUUUUCAUGUCUAAUUUUCUAGCUAUUCUGAACAAGAAUUCACUUACCAACUGUGGAUUCUUUCCAGCAUGUGGUUCAUUAGGGUGACUUCAGGCUGAAAGGUAAAAAUUAAACAUAUUUGAUGUGUGGGAUAGAGCAAGAGUCAAAGUACAUUGUUGCAGUAGAAAGAAGCCAUUAAAAUCCUGGGGACAGUGUGCACCACAGCCGCUCCUAGGAACAGUCUGCUCGUGUUCAGUCGGGCUGUCUGCGUGGCAGGGAGAGCUCGCAUGUGAGUUUGUCGGAACCUGAACCCGGCAAGUUCUGCAUCCUGGGGCUUUGUUGUCCUGGAUGUGCUCUGGGACCAGAGACCCUACAUCAAAACCCUGAGGUCCAGCACGACUCUCUGCAUGUUUAAGCACAUGCAGUAAAAAUCCAGCACUCUUUCUGGGGCCCCGACCCCAUGUCUGGACCCCGGGCUCAUGGCCCACCCCACCUGAGUCCUGACAGGAUGGCAGACGUGUCUGCAAAGUGACAGCCUUCAGAGACUCGGUGGCUUUCCGGAUCUGCAUAUGCUUAAUGGCCUGGAAGGGCUCACGUGUGUCCUUAAACUGAACAUGAAGAUUUGAACCUCUUGAUUUGCAUGAUUUUUUGGGGUUUUCUGGGUCAAGUGAACACACAUUUUCGGAACUCGCCUCCAGCAGCUUACGGGAAGCUGUCACAGUCACAUUUCAUGGAAAUCUAGCUCUCCGGUGUCCCCCGGCUUCCAGUUAGCAGCUGAGUGUGCUGUCCGGCGUCCGGUCUGCCCGUGGCCCCGCUGGCAGGAAGCUCAAAGCCUUUGGGGGAAAUCCUUCCCAUGUUUGAACACUUGUGUGGUUGCCAGGUUCUGUGUAUUAAACUGAAAUUUUCAUGCUUUGA